AGGGCAAAUCAUUUCAGCCUUUCAAUUUUAGGGCAAAUCAUUUCAGCCUUGGCCUCCCCAAUCGCCUCCAUCUCUAUUCUUGGUCUCAACUCUGAACUUGCCCUCUCUCUGUCCCUGCAACUGCAAACUACAAAAUCUACAAGAAUCAAACCCAUAUAAUUCAGUUUAUCUAUCUGUCUGUAAGAAUCAAAAUUUCAAAACCUAUUGCCUAUAUCAAAACCCAUAUCGGCAUAUCAUUUCAGAUUGUUCAAAAAAUCAACACCCAUAUCCUUCAGUUUCCAUCGCCCACUGUUCUAGUUCGAGUUCGCCGUUUGCAAGCUUCAGCCGCUGGCCCGCUGUCUCUCAACUCUCAAGCCCCUCUCUCUGCACUACUUAAAUCUCUACAAUCAAUAUAUAUAUAUAUAUAUAUAUAUAUAUAUAUAUAUAUUGACUGAUAUAUAUAUAUAUUGACUGCGUACUCAAACCCUAAUCUCUCUCUUGACUACAAACAUUCCUCAUAUCAGGUCCAUAUUCUGUUCCGCCUCAGCUCAACCUUUGCCCAUAAUCGUUCAUCUUUACACCCUAGCCAUAGCAUACAAUUUUAGCCGCCAUCAAAUCAGCAACUGAUCGGAACAACGAAUUCAACGGUAAAACCACGAUUUUCAUCAAUGUACCUCUCCAUUUAGCGCAUCAGAAGGUUCCAUUCUACCCAUGGGGAUUUUGAUUCGUUCUUCGAUUUGGGGAUUUUGUAGUUUUGGUUAUGUUGCAUUUCGCAGAGGGUUUUUGCCUCUGAUUUGCACUUCUCUUCGUGGUUGCUUUUGUUCGAUCUUGGAGAUUUCGGCCAAAUCUCGUUGUAGGGUAAGCUUCGCCGACCCGAAUUCGAAUAGACAAAGGAGCAAUUACAAGUUAUCUUGGAGCUUUCGGCCAAAUCGCGUUGUAGGGUAAGCUUCGCCGGCCCAAAUUCGAAGAGACAAAGGAGCAAUUACAAGUUACCAGUUGUGAGGAAAAGGAAGAGGACAUUGUUGUUGCUCGUGGUCUCUAGGAAGAAGAGAAAAACAAAGGUGAAAGGAAGGAAGAAAAAAGGUCUGGACUAUAGGCAUUUCAUAUCAUCAUCUUCAACUUGUCAUCUAAUUGGUCAAAGUUAGGAUUACGGGAUUGCGGUUCCCGUUACUUUUUUUGUUGCCGUUAUAUUUUUUGUAUGGCUCAUGAUCAAGAAGUUACAUAUAUGGAAGAGAGAGACUAAAACAAAGCAAGAAGAUAUGAAGAAUUUUUGUUUCAUUUUGGUUAAGUAAAGAUAUAAGAUGUGGAUUAUGUACUUCUUUGAAAUUUGUAUAUAUUUUUGUAUAAAAUCAUGAUUUGGAAUUGGUUAUA